UUCAUUGUGUGGCUGGCAAGACCUAGAACCUAGAAUCUCUUUGGGUUCCAGUAUUCUCUUUGCGGAAUGGGGAUGAUAACAUCCAAAGUCCCGCCAGCCUCACUGAGAGCCUGGGAAGAUCAAAACACGCUGAAUCACAGUCUACCCGUUCGAGCUGGUAGUUAGCACAUGUUUGCGACGAUCAGGCGCCACGCUAAGUGGCUUACGUGCGCUAUCUCGUCUGACCAUCAUAAGGGCGUCAGAGGGUGCUUUACCGUGGACGGACCUCUAUUUAGGAAAACUUGGCAUCUAAAAGCCCACAGGGACAAAAUCGAUAUAUUAAGGCAACCAGUCAAUCACGGUUUGCCGAGGACUGAUAGGAUUUUAACACCAAAAGGCCCAAGGCCCGGAAACCCUUCAGUGCUAAGCACACCAGGCUUCCCUCCCUCCCCAGUGUACUUGGUGCACCUGUUUCCCCCCAGUGCUACCCUCUUCUGUAAGAUGUAACUCCAUUCAUCCUCCCGGCCUUUCCCUAAGGAGGAAGCCUCCUGAAGCAUGCAGACCAAGGGGCCAGCGAGGCGGCAUGGUGCAGAAAGAAAGCCAGGAGUCAGACUUCCUGAUUUCACACAUGACCCUGGGGCUUCUGACGUCCUCAUCUGCAAAAUGGGGACAACAUUCGCACUGAAGUCAGAAGGUUCCUGAGAGGAUUCAGUAAAUUACUCCUCAUAAAGCCUUAGAAGAGUACCUAACAGGAAGUAAGCGCCAUAUGAAUGUUAGCCAAAGGGAAAAGAAGUAUUUGUGUUACAGAAGUCUCCAAAUCUUAAAACAAGAGACUGAAUUCUAAUGCACCAAGUUUCAAGAAACAGUAAACUAAAUGAAAGGUUUGGAAGCUAGAGAGGACUAUUGUGUUUCCCUAAAAUCACAACACACAGGUUGGCAUCCCCAACACACACACACACACACACACACACACACACGGCAGUAUUCCAGGGACUGAUUUUGGAGCUCAGAUUUCGGAUUUUAACCUAGCUGUAUUACUUUAUAUCAAAACUUCAGUUUCCACAGAGAUAUUCAGUAUAUAUUUUUUUUAUUUUGAAUGUAACAAACCAAUUAAAGAAUGUUUCACAGUAGGCCCCUUUUGGGCUCCCAACCAAAGACCGCGUAUGAUCUCCGAGACCUUUUAGUUUCUGUUAUAGCUACAACUUGUAACCAUGAGGUGACCUAAUUUUAAAUUUCUCUCUGCCACCAGAACCUGAAAUGUAUCUUCUCCAGCAGGUAAACUCAGUCAACUCAUACAAUCUAACACGUUUUAGAAUAUCCUUCUCUACGGGUAAGAGGAUAAUGGGUGAGGGAGAUGCCUUCAAAUAAUAAAAAGCUCACGACUCCCA
rnacentral:lncRNA from 1 species